GGACGCGUAGCUCAGUUGGUUAGAGCACCCCGUUCACACCGGGGAGGUCACUGGUUCGAGUCCAGUCGCGUCCACCA
rnacentral:tRNA from 2 species